rnacentral:rRNA from 1 species
GUCCACGCCGUAAACGAUGGGCACUAGGUAGCGGCCGGAUCCGACCGGUCGCUGCUGACGGAAAUCCAUUAAGUGCCCCGCCUGGGGAGUAUGGUCGCAAGGCUGAAACUCAAAGGAAUUGACGGGGGCUCACACAAGCGGUGGAGGAUGUUGCUCAAUUCGAAGCAACGCGAAGAACCUUACCAGGGUUUGACAUGCUGGGAUUAACCCCGUGAAAGCGGGGGAUUGCCUUCGGUGUAACCAGCACAGGUGUUGCAUGGCUGUCGU